CUUCUCGUGGUGUAGUUGACAACGCGCCUGUCUAGUGAAUAAGAGGCGUGAGUUCGAGCCCCACCGAGAGGA
rnacentral:tRNA from 1 species